rnacentral:rRNA from 1 species
UACGUAGGGUGCAAGCGUUAAUCGGAAUUACUGGGCGUAAAGCGUGCGCAGGCGGUUGUGCCAUACCGGUGUGAAAUCCCCGGGCUUAACCUGGGAAUGGCAUUGGUGACUGCACGGCUAGAGUGUGUCAGAGGGGGGUAGAAUUCCACGUGUAGCAGUGAAAUGCGUAGAGAUGUGGAGGAAUACCGAUGGCGAAGGCAGCCCCCUGGGAUAACACUGACGCUCAUGCACGAAAGCGUGGGGAGCAAACAGG